rnacentral:rRNA from 1 species
AGCGAACGCUGGCGGCAGGCCUAACACAUGCAAGUCGAACGAAGUCUUCGGACUUAGCGGCGGACGGGUGAGUAACACGUGGGAACGUACCUUUUGGUUCGGAACAACUCAGGGAAACUUGAGCUAAUACCGGAUGAGCCCUUAGGGGGAAAGAUUUAUCGCCGAAAGAGUGGCCCGCGUUAGAUUAGCUAGUUGGUGAGGUAAAGGCUCACCAAGGCUACGAUCUAUAGCUGGUCUGAGAGGAUGAUCAGCCACACUGGGACUGAGACACGGCCCUGACUCCUACGGGAGGCAGCAGUGGGGAAUCUUGCGCAAUGGGCGAAAGCCUGACGCAGCCAUGCCGCGUGAAUGAUGAAGGUCUUAGGAUUGUAAAAUUCUUUUACCAGGGACGAUAAUGACGGUACCUGGAGAAAAAGCCCCGGCUAACUUCGUGCCAGCAGCCGCCGUAACAC